UAUAAGGGCGUAUGGCGGAUGACUAGAGAUAAAUUGGCGAAGAAGGACGCGGCGUGACGGCGAUAUGCUUGGGGGAGGUCAUUUCAGUACCUAGAGGAAAAGAAACCAAUCUCACGCUUUAUGCCGUAAGCCGUAAGCUGUAAAAAGCUUAAGGCGUAUGGCGUAUGGCGUGAACAAUUCUCUUAGUAGCGGCGAGCGAAAAGGGAAGAGCCCAGAGUUUUUUCUUUUUGGUAAUUUAUUAUUAAAAGGAUAAAGCAGUAGUAAGUUUAGUUCUGAUCUUUAAUGAUAUGGAAAAUUAGAUUAUUAGCAGAACGGUCCUGGAAAGGCCGGCCAAAGAGGGUAAUAGCCCCGUAAGCGACAAUAAAUCUAUAUUCUUUGAACUUUACUUGAGUACCUCGAAAAAUGUAUAGUUCGGGGGAAAUCGCCGGCACGAGCCGGUAAGGCUAAAUACAAUUUAUCAUCGAUAGUGAACAAGUACCGUGAGGGAAAGUUGAAAAGCAGCCCGGUGAGGGCGAUGAAAUAGUACCUGAAACCAUAUGCCUACAAGGAGUCAGAGUCGGUCGCGCCUCACUGCGCGAUGAUGGCGUGCCUAUUGAAGAAUGAGCCAACGAGUUAUUGUUUUUUGCUCGUCUAAGGGCGUGAUGCCCGGAGACAAAGGGAAACCGAGUGUUAAUAGCGCGUACGUGUGUAAGCAGAAAACGAUAGACCCGAAGCCAGAUGAGCUUACCAUGACCAGGGUGAACCUCGGAGAAAUCCGGGGGAAGGCCCGAACCGUUUAGCCGUUCAAAACUAUCGGAUGAGUUGUGGUAAGGAGUGAAAAGCUAAUCGAAUCUGGUAAUAGCUGGUUCUCUCCGAAAUUAAACAGCGAGGAGGUUGGCUUAGAAGCAGCCAUCCUUUAAAGAGUGCGUAACAGCUCACUCGUCAAGAGACUUCGCGCCGAAAAUUAUCGGGGCUUAAGCAGAGUACCGAAGGUGAGAGUGCUGACGCAACUUUCAAUUUCUAACUUAUAAUUUCCAAUUUUUGGUAAUUAAAUUGUUGGCAAUUGGCAGUUGCGCCAGCGCGGUAGGAGAGCGUUCCAAAUGCAGUGAAGCUCACGGCGUGAGCCGGAGUGGAGCGUUUGGAAGUGAGAAUGUUGGCACAAGUAACCACAAGUCCGGUGAAAUCCCGGACCACCGAAAACCCAAGGUUUCCUUGGCAAUGACAAUCAGCCAAGGGUUAGUCGGCCCUAAGCCAAUGGCGAAAGCCGGAGGCGAUGGAUAGCUGGUUAAUAUUCCAGCACUGCGUAUUUUUUUGAUGACGGGACGGAAUCUAGUACAUUGAGCGUGUUAUUGGAUUCGCGUUCAUGGCGUAAGGGUAGAGUAUAGGAAAAUCCGUACUCUCGCUUUAGUGCGGCAUCCAAGCGCUUUGAAAACCCGGCACAGCAAUGUGCUGGGAAUUCAAUGGAGCAGGUUUCCCAGAAAAUCGUCUAAAAAUAUUAAUACGCAACCGUACCGGAAUCCGACACAGGUGGGUAGGUCGAGAAGA
rnacentral:rRNA from 1 species